rnacentral:antisense_RNA from 1 species
UUCUUUUAGGUGUUGGUCUAGGUUCUUCUGGUUGUG